AGGAAAAUGUGAGAGUGACUGUGAUGGGUUCAGACACAGAGACCCCCUUGGGACUGUCACCUGAUGUGCUGAAACUACCUUUGAACCCAUUUUCUUUGAUGGCUUGGGACUCCAAAACCCUGCCUUGUUGAGCCAGAUACGCAAGCCUGCUGC